CUGGUGUUGAGAAAAAAAACACUAUUUGCAUCCAACCAUUUGUGGUAAACUGAUUUGAAAUCACUAAAAAAAAUUAAGCUGCACUUUUCUUAAAGCCCUGUGAACCGAAGCUAGACAACUUAAACUUCAAUGGAAAAUAACAGCAACAUAUUUAUAUACAUAAACCAUUUUCAUACCUGCCUACUGAUAUAUGGACUUCAGGGUAAUAUGGCCUGUAUCAGUUUUCUAGGAUUGUUCUCCCUUUUUUGUUUCUCAUUUCCUCCUUUUUUCUCUGUUCUCUUUCUCCCUUACUCCCCCUAAUUCUACUUCAUGGGAUGUGGGACUUCACAACCUACUUAAAAUGAGCUUGCCUAACAACAUGGGACCUAUCCAUCUAGGAAUAAACUGUCAUAGUCAUAAGAGAUCAGGCAAAAGCCAAGACCAGAGACUCAGUUCUUUUAAAAUGCCUUCUCUGAAAGAUUUUAAAAUGAAAGGGGGGAUAAGUGUGAAAGGAAAAGAAAAACUUGGACCCCAAUUCACCAUGCCAAAAGGAAAAAAUUAAGCUGAAAGCUGUGUCAUGCAAGAUGCUACCUUUCCUUUUGUUCCUAAGCAAAUAGCUACAUAUAAAAGGAUAAAUAUCUCCAAAUAGCUACUCUAUGUUCACCUUAUCUUAUGUAAAGUGCUGAUUUACUGCGCAUGCGAUGAAUACAUAAUUAACUAUUCCCCUACCUGUUCCUUUUCUCUUGCAACAUGAGGAUUACUAUCCCUUCCCUUUUUCCCCUGCAGCCCACUUUCCC
rnacentral:lncRNA from 1 species